rnacentral:rRNA from 1 species
AUGGCUGACGAUACCAAGUCCCUUAUUUUGUUUCUCCUCUUGAGCAGCUCAUCCUUGUGUUUUGGUUCUGAAUCUGAUAUCCUGUGCCUGAGGUCUUUGCAACAAUCAGUGAUUGAUCCCAAUAGUGUACUCAAAUCCUCAUGGAUCUUUGAAUAUCCCAGAGAGGGUUACAUAUGCCCCUUUAUUGGUGUGGAAUGCUGGCACCCCAACGAGAACAGGGUUCUCUCUGUGCAUCUCCACAACCUAGGACUUCAAGGCACAUUCCCUCAGGGCCUACAACAUUGUUCCAGCAUGACCCACCUGGACCUGUCAAAUAACAAUUUUUCAGGACCAAUUCCCGAUAUUUCACGGCUGAAUCCAUACCUGACAUAUCUGGAUCUCUCGUACAAUAACUUUUCAGGUGAAAUCCCAGAGAGUAUCGUAAAUUUGGAAUAUCUGAAUGUCCUCAACCUCCAGCAUAACCAACUCAGCGGUCAAAUUCCACCACAAUUCGAUUUGCUUACUCGGUUAACCACGUUCAAUUUUACUGACAACCCAAAGCUUUGUGCUUCACCGAUGAAUGACUGCCCCCGCUCGAGAAAGAGAUGGAGAGCGUUACGAAUCAGGCUGCACAGGCUCAACGACCAGUCCAGUAUCGGAGCGGCCGUCGGAUUUGUCGUGGGGUUCGUGGCGGCCUUCUACUUCCCACGCUGCUUCGUCUGCUCCAAGAGGUUCCGAGCCUACGUCGUCCGGAUAUGA